AGUCGAUAAGUCUGUGUGAACAGCUCACGACCCGUGUCCCUCUUUGUGUUUUUGUUUUGUUUCAGAGAGCGGAUUUUGGAAUCUGGUAUUCCAGGGAUUCGUUACUGAUACUGAAGAAGUGAGGACAGAAGUGUGAUGACACAAGUGAAGAGACAAACUUCCAGUCCUGGAACCAAUUAGAGCAGGAGGAGCCCCUCCACCAGUCCAGCAGAGGCAGGUGCUACUGUCGUUCCUCUGGAGAAGUAAUCAACAGCACCUCUGUUCUAAGAGCCAGUUUGCCUGAUGUUACAGCAUGUUGAAUGAGGCUCUCCGAUGGAGUAUGGCACACACACACAGGUACACACUCAUCCUGCUGUUUCCACUGAGCGUUCAGCCUGUCAUCGGAAAGAGAAGAUGAACGGAGGUAAAGGGGAGGAGAGGAAACACGCACUUCUGCCCUCUACCUUCCAUGUGCUGGGUCCCUGCACUUAAACUGAGCACAGACAGAGCGAGUGAGAGAGUGAGAGCCAGAGGGAGGGAGGGAGGUGUGUGUGUUUGUGUGGGUAAGGCUUUGCCUAUAGUGAGAGGAUAGUAAACCUGAAAUCACCUACAUUGUGUGGAGCAGUCAAAGGUCCAUGUCCAUGAGAAAAACAUGCAAAAUGUUUUAAAAUUUCAAAAUGCAAGAAAAUAUUUUCAGUUCUUGAAGUACACCCUCCACCCAAGAGUUAAAUAAUGAGAAAAAUGAAACAAGAAAUGAAUGAAUAAACAAAUAAAAAAAGUAAUUUCAGAAAAUAUGUACACUUUAUUUUAAUUUCAUGUGGCAAACAUUCAAAAUCUAUUUAAUAAUUAUAUUUUUAUUUGGCACAAUAAAGCGCUAACAUAUAGGUUGAUAUUACGGUUUUUAAUUUACUUAAAUUUGCCA